UACCUGCAGUCGAACGGUAACAUGACGAGCUUGCUCAUCGAUGACGAGUGGCGGACGGGUGAGUAAUGCUUGGGAACUUGCCUUUGCGAGGGGGAUAACAGUUGGAAACGACUGCUAAUACCGCAUAAUGUCUUCGGACCAAACGGGGCUUCGGCUCCGGCGCAAAGAGAGGCCCAAGUGAGAUUAGCUAGUUGGUAAGGUAACGGCUUACCAAGGCGACGAUCUCUAGCUGUUCUGAGAGGAAGAUCAGCCACACUGGGACUGAGACACGGCCCAGACUCCUACGGGAGGCAGCAGUGGGGAAUAUUGCACAAUGGGGGAAACCCUGAUGCAGCCAUGCCGCGUGUGUGAAGAAGGCCUUCGGGUUGUAAAGCACUUUCAGUUGUGAGGAAAAGUUAGUAGUUAAUACCUGCUAGCCGUGACGUUAACAACAGAAGAAGCACCGGCUAACUCCGUGCCAGCAGCCGCGGUAAUACGGAGGGUGCGAGCGUUAAUCGGAAUUACUGGGCGUAAAGCGCACGCAGGCGGUUUGUUAAGCUAGAUGUGAAAGCCCCGGACUCAACCUGAGAUGCUCAUUUAGAACUGGCAGACUAGAGUCUUGGAGAGAAGAGUGUGUUCCAGGUGUAUCGCUGAAAUGCGUAUAUAUCUGAAGGAACAUCAGUGGCGAAGGAGACUC
rnacentral:rRNA from 1 species